UAUAUGUGUGUGUGUGAGCAUUUUCACUCAAGGAAUACUGCUCUGCCCAUUACAACCAAGAUCUUACUUGCAGAAAUAUGAAUAAUAUCCAAGGCAGUCUUCUGUGCCUGACGGCCGGUGACAUUUCACACGAGUUAAAUUGAUGUACAAAAUAAUAAUAAUAAUCUGUCUUAUCAUAAUAUCUGUUUCCGAGUGGGAAGAACAAUAUUAAGAUAUUACAGAAUGUCUGUUAAUAGAAAAUGGUUUCUCUGAUCACAUUAAGAAUAUAUCAAAGCACCAAACACACAUGAAAAGUUCAGAGAAGUUGCACAAUAAGUCAAACUUUGAAUUUCGUUUUACCCAAAUGAAUAUUCUAAGAUUAUUUUGAAACAACAAAUAUCACACAUGUCACUUACAACAAAGCAGAUCCUAUAUUUGGUUGAGAAGACUAAAGAUCAAGAUAUGGUGACAGGAAAUUGGGGGUGUGUCCAAAGACUAUGUUAUAAGUACAUGUAGGGUAUAAGGGACAGAUUCAUACACACUAUGAACUGUAUAUGGGAAUUAUUACUUGUUUUAGGGCACAGGUCAAAGGUAUGGUUGAAGGGGAAUUAUUACUUGUUUUAGGGCACAGGUAUGGCUAUAGGUCUAAGUCUGAUCUUACCUAAAUACUGUAGCUUCAUUAUGGAGGUAUGGACAAUGGGUUACAGCUGUGAUUGUAGGUCUAAGGGAAAAAUCUUGCCUAAAUGGUUCAUGUAUUUUGAUAUCUAUGACUUUGGAAUUGUUUUAAAUGUCUUUAUAUUGAGAAUCAUUACCUAAUAUUCAUUAUGCUGAACCAUACUAGUAAAUGUAACUGCACUGUCAUAAUACUGUACAGACAAUUGGUCCUCAUACAUACUGUACUGUAUAAUUAUGGUCAUACAUAUCAUCAACAUACAUAUCAUUUUCAUACAUAUAAAAGACUGCCAUAAUACCUGUAACUUAACUGGACUGUGAUCAUAAUGUAACUGAAAUGUCAUCAUACAUAUAACUGGACUGGUGUACAUAUUACCGGACUGUUCAUUAAACACAUGACUAUCAUUAUACAAUUUUGUUGAGUAAUCAUUUAUGUAAUAGUACAGUAUCACCAUCAAUGCAGUUUCAGUUAUCAACGACCAGGUUUUCUACUGAAAGACGACACGGAUCAAUGUAAAUGCAGUAUAUGUAACACACAAAUCUGAUCUAAUAAUGGAUCCACCCCACACUUUCAGAGUUCAUUGAUAAAUUUGUGAAACAAGUGAACCACCAUUUUGGAGGUAAGGAGAAUGUAAUACUUGAAUGGAACACUAUAAGUAUGAAGUUUGAGAAGGCAAAAGCAAAGUAAGAUUAUCCAUUAGAAAUGGGCAGAGGCAGACGUUCCAUCUGGAAAAAGAUUUCUUAAUAUAUCAAAAUCAAUAAAAAGGUAACAAAAGCUUAAGUUAUGAAAUAGCCUAGAAAUGACUCUUGUUUAAGAAAGAGAAAAGAGGAUUCCUGUAGUACUUAAGGAAGAUAACUCAAGAUACAGGACUGGACUCCAAAUUAAGUCCAUUUAUCAUACAGUAAAACAUUACAGUACUAUACUUAAAAAAAAAUGUGUAAACUUGAAAUUUUACCCAUAAUGUACUAUACUGUAUACCAGUACUGUAUUUGCAUAUACCCCUAUGACUUAAUUGUGUUAAGUAAUAUUGGUAGCCAGGAUCAGCAAGUAGUAACGUGUUCAAUGACUUUGUGGCUAAAGUGCCCAGAUUAAUUUUUCAGGAGACAUGACAUGAAUAUAUGAGAAAAAUUAUUGUGACAUGAUGACAUAACUGGUCAAUGGGAAAUAGAUGAUGUUCCUGUUACAGUUACAAAAACUAAAGUGGCAUUCAUACUUAUUUCCAUUACACUGAGUAGAACCUUGUUAAUGGAUGUAACUUUAGAUUAAGCAUUCUAUAAUUGUGAGGAGUGAAAACCAUCUUGAUUUCAGUACUAUUAUGAUAAUACACUAACUUUGGGAGUGGGGGAACCACUGAACACACCAGUCACCCACUUCACCCACUCUCAAUCCUUUAAUUUAAUGGUUGGUGGAAAUUCACUAAACACUCACAAUUUUAGUGUAUUACAGGCAUCACUGAUACUGUAAGUGUUAUUACAGAUUUAUGCAUAUAAUUUUUAUAUUCAGUUAUAGAAAAUAGUGUCGUGACUCAUGGAUGAACGUACUGUACUGCACAUUUCUAGGCAAGUAGGAUAAGUAACCUGAUUGGGUAUUUAAACUUUUAAACUACUCACUUCUAUUCAUAAAAAAGGAGAAAUAUUUGCAAAGUUAAUUGGACAUUUUAAGCAGUGUUUAGGCACAUUAAUGUACAAAUUGCAUGAUUUUGAAAAAAUUAAAGCAUAAGCUCUCUUUUAUAAAAGAAUUAUCAAGGAGCCGGCUGAGGUGGCUUUGCCAGGCAUUGUGCCCCAGUCCUUGCAGCCAAUCCCAUGGCAAACUAACACAUAACACCUGUUAGCUGUCACCACCUUGGUGAGUACAAGCCAAAGCUGCUCUAGGCCUUACAGGCAGUACAAACAGCUGUGACAACCCAUUCACUAAGCAUGACAAAUGUUGCAUUGCUUUUCACCCCACGUAAAACCUUUCAAAAUUUCUGUUGCCACCAUAUAAAUGUGAAUUUGCAGUGCAGUAUAGUUUCAUCAAUACAGCAAUGAAUUAUCAUCUUAUGUACAUAAAAUGGGCGUUUCAUGUACCAAUUACCAUUUAAGCAUUUGACUAUUUUCAAAUCUCUAAUCUUGUUUGUGUUUAUUGUAUUUUAUCAGCACCAUAGUACCAUAGUCACACACCAUCAUGAUCCAUUUCUGUGACCUUUAUCAGCCUGGCAGAAGAUAUGUCACCUUUAAUAUACUUUUUUGACUUGUGAUGAUUCAAUCUAUCUUAUCAUUUCCCCUUUAUGGGCAAAUGAUUCUUUACUUCAUGGAUAGAUAAACCUUUCUCAAGGUGACCCAAUUUAUGAAAGGGUUCCAUUCCUGAAAAAUAUUUUAUAAAUUGGAUCCUAUUUUCCCAGACCCUCAUUACAGUACAGUAUAUCAACUAAGAUGUGUUCCAACGGAAAUCCCCCCGAUCAUCUGAAAAUGCUACAAAACGUGUUUUUAAAAAAAAAUUUUGGUGUGCACAAUGAUUAUACCAUAAGAGCAACGUGAACCUUGCUACACAUUGUUCGCAAGAUUAAUCUAUUUUCUUCUGAAUGUGCACACAAUAACAAUAUUGUACUUACUAUGGAUAAAACAAGAAAUGUUGCCAGCAAGUGAUAUAUUGCAUUUUGCAAUAUCCAUCGUCUGUGAUGUCAGAUUGUUGUGCGCGAAAUGUGCUGAUACUGAGAAACUCUGCCACUGGUUGUGAUGUAGUGCAAGACUGUGAGGCCCAGCCAAGAGUUACAGAUUUUAUUUGGCAUACAGUUCCUAUAUACAUUUUGAGAUUUUUGCUUUCACUGGAUUUGAUUUUUGAUGAGGUUUUGUUUGAAGAAAUUUUAUACUUAUCCAUUUAAAUUUUUUUCAAUCAACAUCAUAUCAAACUCUGGGACACUAAACACAUCAGCAUUGCCACAACUGAAGUAUUUUGAGUCAGCAUCUAGUCACUCCUUCACAUAACAAUCCCGUGAGUCAUAUCUAAAACUUUACAUAUAUUUUAUUUUAAAUUUAGUUAACCACUCUUAAUACAGCAGAGUUCUGUAUAUUGUUUUAGUAUACAUUAAUGUCUUUAAAAACUGACCAGGUCCACUUUGGAAAGCCUGGAAAUGUUUGCAUCAGCAACCUUCCGCUCCUGUAAAGAAAUUAUGAAAGCGAAAACCAAAUUUGUAACUUCGAUUUUUUUUUAUGUAAAUCGAAACAUAGGACAACUUUUUUUUUUUUUCAGUUUUCUUUCCCAAAAGGAAACGUUCAUUUUAUUGCCCAGUACCUGCAGGUUUUAUCUAAGUAUAUUUCAUGCCUGGUUAAAUGCACAUUUUUAUCCGAGUGCAAAAACUAUUUGCUAUCUGCUGUUAAUCACCUGCUUGGUCAAACUCAUGGAUUACCCACAGAUGCAUAAGAUUUUGUCUUGUAUGUGGAGGAAAGUAUUUAAAAAAUACAAGAGUGUAAUGGGGAAGGUAUGAGAGUAUCUUGGGAGGGACUGAAAGCUAAGAAAUAGUAGCAUGACUGGUUGUCAAAUAAGUAAUCACCAUGUAUCUGUGAUGGUUAGAGAAAAGAUUUCUUUGAUAUUUAACAAACACCAAGUUACAUGUUAUUUGCAGUACUGUACUGUAUUACGAUAAAUGAACUCAUCACAAUUAACAUUUGAAUUGGGGAAAAUUCACAACGAUCAUAUAUUACCACUAGGGCACAUGAGAGGUGAUACGUGAGUAUAGAAUAUCAACAGGGGCACUGCCAACUACAGAACCUUAGACUACUUUUACCUUAACAACAAUCAUCUACUCGAGUGUUAACCACCAAUAGUUCUGCGAUGUGUGACAUCCUCCCCUUGUGUCUAUGACUGGACUCCAAGACAACUUAUGCUUCCCCAGACUGGAAGAUGAAACUGCUUCCGUCUGCUUGUGGGGGAUGACAUUUAUUUGACUUCUGGAGGCCAAGGCUACCUACAAAGUCCGUACAGUAACACUACGUGGCGGGUGUGGUUGCUAGGUCAACUAGUCACGUAAAAAGGUUCCCCUGUGGGCGGAGAUAAGUUAUCUUAUUAGGUACAGUGCAUGUCAUUGGGGUGCUGACCCACGAAGUAGGUCUACAUUAUUGGCUCGCUCCAAGGUUUACCUUGUUUCAGCGUCUUAAGUAAAUACAGUUUUUUAACUCACUGUUCUAUACUUUCCACUGUUGUUCAUGUGUUGAAAUUUUAGUAUGACUAGUGCAGUAUACUUAUUUAACUAUCACUCAUUAUAAAAGAGUCAAAGUCAUACUUAUAUUUGGUAUCAGUGUGCAUAUGUGAUUCAAACAAUGGUGUGGUGGACUUAAACAAUGCCUAGCCCCUCUUAUUUCUUCUCCGAUAGGUUUGUUGUUCAGAAAAAAGGGACUCAUGAAAAUGAUGAGAUCAGAGUUUCAUUAAGUUUAGAACUUUAGGUGCUAAUUACCAACCAGAUUUUCAGUGUAUGAAUCAUAUUCAUUUGAAAACUGUUCAUAGUGGACAGAUAAUAAUAAAGGAAAAAUGACAGGGAAGGAGCUUUAUUCCUAACGUACCUGAGCCAUGUUGAACUAGUACCCAUUAUGUUUCACCCUGAGAUCCAGCUCUCCUUGUGUGACAUAGCUCCGCCCAUCGCCGUGGUCUAAAUUGAUGUAUAAAUAGCAGUAAACCCGUAUUGUGUGUUCAUUCCUUUGAAAAAGUCUUGACGAAACAUGAGGAAUAAAGCUCAAACUCUU
rnacentral:lncRNA from 1 species